rnacentral:lncRNA from 1 species
GUUAUGGUCAGGGCAGCAGGGAUGUGGGGGCGCUGGGGCAGCCUGGUAUGGGGAGGAGCAGGGUGUUAGGCAGACAGGGCUGCAACUGGACCACAGGUCACCUGGCCACUGUGGGGAGUGGCUGGAGAGGCAGCAGGGAGGUUCCCUGGACUCUGACACAGCCCAGCAGGUCAGCCUAGCAGGCCCUGGACUGGGCAUGGGCUCUUGUCCUAGCACCUGGGGCCUGGCUAAGACUAGGCACUCACCUCCUGGCCGGUCAGGGCAGUUGGUUGGGUUGACUGGGAGCCUGGGGCCCUCCCUCCCGUUGCACCGUCUGUCUUGGAGGAAGGCUGUGGGGCUGCCCCCUGUUGCUCCCCACCCAGUUUCAGGAGCUUGGCCUGGGGACUGGGACAUCUCUGUUCUUGAACCAGCAUUUCAGAAUAUUCCUAAAAAGGAGAAUCGGUCAAGAAUCCCAGAGCCUGGGCUGUUUUUCUAACUGGGAGGACGGCAGCUUGGUAUACCUCCGAAGGGCCCCUGGGUCGGUGGGUGGCAAGUGCACUGCCCUCUGAGGCCCUCCAGGCUACAGUCAGCCUUCCCUCUGCCCGGCUGGGCAGUGACCCCCAGGUCAGCAGCCCAUCACCCAGGCAGGAAGCCCAGGGACACAGAGGCUCCAGGCAGGGAGGACCAACUCCUUCAGUUCAGCUCCCCGUUCCCCUGUCCUCCCCCAGCCUGUCCCCCAUCCUCUCCUGUGGUGUGGCCAGGCAGGGCAGGGCAGACAGGCUAACUGCCCCGUGCUGAGUUGGGUCAACACGGACCGCCCUUCAGAAGGCAGACUCCCCUGUUCACCAGCAGGCUUCUGCCCACUGCGGCUGGGGUGCCCAGCCCUGCUCUACGGCUGCCUCCAGACACCUCCUCUGCCUCCUCCUUCAGGCUCCUGAGGUAGCCCCUGCCAUUCUUCCUGCAGGACAAUGGCCAAGGGGUCUCAACUGCUGGACCACCCCCAGGAUCCUCCAGCGCUGCCUGCCAACCCCUCCAUCCUGGUCAGACGCCAGCCCCGGGAGGCAAAGUCUGGGGCACCCACAGCCAGGCUGUCUCCUGCCUGGAGAGACCGGAGCUGGGCCUCCUGCCCCGACACCGAAGGUGAUUUAAAAUUAUACUCAACGUGGAAGUGACCUCUUCAGCCACGUAGAGCACACAGCUCAGUGGUGUCAGGCACAUUCUUGCUGCUAUGAGCCAAACUCACUGUCCACCUCCAGAGAUCCCCCAAAUUCCCAAGGGGAACCCAGGCACCCACAAGCACUAGCUCCCGCCCUGGUGCCCGCUUGCCUGUCAGCACAGGCCCCGCAGGGAGCUGGUCAGUGGGCAGCUUUGGUCCUUCUGCGGCCCAGCUCCCCAUCCCGCAGGCUCACCCACGCCUCAGGCUGACAGGAGGCCAGGCCAGGCCAGCAGCCUCACCCAGGAAGGGCUGGCAAGCCAGAGCGACCCCAGGACUGUUUGAGGAAGGAUGUUCCGGGAGGGGGCACUGGGGAGAGGCCAGCAGCACACUGACCUCUCCAGGCUCCACGUGGACCACACUCAGAGGUGGGGAUGAGGCACGCAGAGCUGUACCUGAGCUCUCCGUCGGCUAGGGCCCAGCUCAGCACCCACCCUGUGCAGUUGGAAGGAUGAGGGCGGGGGCCGCCGGAGCCCACCCUGACCUCACUCCCCCAGCCACUUCCCUCCCAGCCAGGGCUUCCCAACCAGCAAAAGAACUCAGGGCUGGUGAACACAGCCCUGUCCUGCGGGUCCCCACAUUCUUGUGCUGACCCCUCUGGGCUGGGCCGGAAGUGCCCUGCCCUCAGGGGCUGUGCUAGGAGGCAGGGACAGAUUGGAAGUCCCCCCAGCAUCCCACCCCAUUUGUCAUAGGCCCAUUAGGUCCUGACAGCUGCUUCCCCUCUGUCCAGUUAGGGGCGGGGCUGAGGCUUCCGGGUGCCCAUCAAUCAAAGGCCCUGCACCGUGGUUUAGGCAGGGCGGGGGGCCUCUGAGGAAGGACAUCAUGAAAGCAGCCAGAUUGCUGGAGCACAUGGCGGGGAGGUGGCUCCCCAUACGAGGAGCAGAGUUGUGCAGUGCCCCCAAGGUCACCUUGGUGGACAUCCAGAACCAAGGGCACCUGCCAGCACCACAGGGAGCCAGGUCUAAUUUGUGGGCUCCCCCACCCUCACAGCAAUAACUCUGGGCCUCAGUUUGCCCAGUACCUGAGCCAUGGGUGCCUGGGAGGCUAACUGGACCCCACGCCACCCUGGCAGAGUUCAGCCACUGGCCUCCUGGGGCUGAUUACUGAUGGCCCUAGGCUGGGAAAACAGAGGGCCAGUGGCUCUUCUGGCCUCCUCCACUGGACACCCAGUCCCCUGCCCCACUGCCAUCCUGGGGCUGCAGGCAGGCCCAGGGGCAGGAGAGGCCUGCCGGGCACUACGCGCUCCUGGCCAGGCCUGCCCGGCAGGCGCUAGUUAUGUAUACCACAGGCUGUUUAUUGAUAGGGCCUGAUGGGAGGCACACUUCAGCCUGGGCCCCAGACACCCACAGCCCCACCGCGGGGGCAAAGGGCCCGGUCUCUUGGGAAGCAGCUUUCAAGUGCCCCCAGCCUCCUUCCCUUGUAGGGACACAGAGGCCACCAGGGAGGGUCAGCCCCUGCCCAGGCCUGCCUCCAGGCCCCAUGUGGACCACACUCAGAGGUGGGGUGAGGAACGUAGCGCUGGGGACUGGCCCUCCUGCUGCAGGCUCCAGACUUGGGAGUCUGAGGUGGGCCAGGGCAGUCUUCUCAUGGUCCCUCCAGGCAGUGCCCAGGACCCCUGGGCUGAAAUGGCGUUGACACUUCCUAUCUAGAAUCUGAAGGCGCUCCUGUGCGCUGGAUCUGGCUACCCUCCCAGGGCGGGGGCAAACACCUACCCUGGAGCCCACCAAGGGGACAGAGGGAGGAGCCCUCCUCAUGGGGGGGGGCAGACCCUGGGUGCAGGAGAGGGCCUGCCGGGCACCACAGGAGAGGCCAACCCACCUGCCCGCCCCAAGGCUCUGGCUCCGUAUUUUAACUGCCCACUUGCC